rnacentral:rRNA from 1 species
GACGAACGCUGGCGGCGUGCUUAACACAUGCAAGUCGAGCGGAGCGGCGAACGGGUGAGUAACGCGUGAGUAACUGCCCCCCUCUCUGGGAUAACAGUUGGAAACGGCUGCUAAUACCGGAUCGUGGGGGAUGACUCGCGUCCUAUCAGCUUGUUGGUGGGGUAGUCGCCUACCAAGGCGACGACGGGUAGCCCGUCUGAGAGGGCGACCGGCCUCAUUAGGCUGAGAUACGGCCGAAACGCAUACGGGACGAAGCAGUGGGGAAUAUUGCACAAUAGGGGAAACCCAGAUGCAGAGACGCCGCGUGCGGGAAGACGGACUGCGGGUUGUAAACCGCUUUCAGCCAUGACGCGGUAGUGGCAGAAGAAGCACCGGCUAACUACGUGCCAGCAGCCGCGGUAAUUC